AGCUACAAGGGAUGAUUCCUUCCCAAGAGUUUAAACGAAGAGGUUUGCUGUGCUAUCUGUGAGGUUUACCUGUGGAAGAGAAAGAAGGGGUGAUGGCGCCAGGUCACUGGCUUUCACGCUGGAGGAGAAGAGAGACUUGCUGCCACCCUUAACUCUGUGAUCUGUGCCUCAAAAGCCUCAUAGGCUGAAGGGUCAGCAAUAGUAAGAGAGAAUAUCCUCCUGGGAUCCAGGCUGUCUCCGAAGAUGCCGUGGGGCUCUAGCUCAUUUCCACCUCAGCCGUUAGGAUCCAAGCGUGGGUGCAAACACAGAACUCAAGUUUACAUUCCCCAGCUCCAGCGAGUCAGACUGAGGCAGGGGACCCCCAUGAAGUUGCAUCCUUGCUUGGCUUCUCGUUUGUCCCCUUCCCUCCAACACUUGGC
ensembl:lncRNA